rnacentral:rRNA from 1 species
UACGUAGGGUGCAAGCGUUGUCCGGAAUUAUUGGGCGUAAAGAGCUCGUAGGCGGUCUGUCGCGUCUGCUGUGAAAACUCGGGGCUUAACCCCGGGCCUGCAGUGGGUACGGGCAGACUAGAGUGCGGUAGGGGAGACUGGAAUUCCUGGUGUAGCGGUGAAAUGCGCAGAUAUCAGGAGGAACACCGAUUGCGAAGGCAGCUCGCUGGGACGUCACUGACGCUGAGACGCGAAAGCGUGGGGAGCAAACAGG